CUCCGCCCCCGCUCGCUUCUGCCCGCAGCAACCGGUUCCCACGAGCCCUGGGGAGGUUUUGAGACUGGAGGCGGGAGUGGGUUGGACGUGCGUCCCGGCUCCUGAGACCCAGCUGGAGUUUCAGAAUGCUCUCUACCUAGCUGCCUCCUCAACAGUGACAGCCGGGAAACUGUGACCAUCACUGCGUUAGCAGAAAGCCGAGAAACCAUUGGUGAACCGUCCUGACAAACUCCCUGUUAUGGUGGAGCUUACAUUCUGGUGAAAAGGGAGCAGGCCAGAAAUGCCAGGUCAGUUAACAUCCUCAGGGAGCUGCCACCAGCCAGUGAUGAAUGAGAAGUGGAGGAAAAAGUACCCCAGUUCCCCUGCCCUUGGAUGGGACAACUCUGGGUCAUGUUCGCCAUGGAUCCCAACAGGAUUGAGGCCCAGUUACCCUCAGUGAUAAUCUGCUCACUGAUAACUCUUUAGUCAUGCAAACUUCCAUGCCUCUUUCUUUAUGAGUGCUUUCUGGAAUCCCCUCCCAGAUAAACCAUUGGCACUAAAA